GAUUCCCUGAUGUUUAGCCUGAUCCUCUCAAUCGGGCUGCCUCACACUGAGAAGGUGCUCAACAAUCAACCUUAUUUAUAUAUUUACCAUUCAUCUAUGGCAUGUUCUCACAUCUUUUAUUUUCAUGCUAAUUGUGUUGUGGAUCUUCUCCACCCACCCCCCCGUUUCCUCCAGUACAUUUGUUCUGCAGCUAUUUGUGUAGAAACCAAGCAAUUUCUGCUCCACCUGCUCAUAAACACAAUGAGAGAGGGAACAGCGUGUUCCAGCAGAGCCUCUGCCUUAGCAACAGUUCACAGCAUCGCUGGGAAGGAACAGAGACCUUCUGGAGAGGAGGAGUGCCCUUCGUCUCCCGAAAAGCAGCAGCAGGCAAGUUCUGCCUUUAAUUCUAUUUCCUGCGAGCCCCCCCUUUCGCUGGAAGUGUUUGGUAGCUGUAAUAAAGAAUGCAAAACCUGAGCGCAGUUUGCCCCUCGCACUCCGUGAAGACAAAGUGGGGUUGGUGACUGAGCAGACCGUCUGCCACGCGGAACACGCAGGCCCACGCUGGAGCCCUCAGUUACAGAGGGGCCACAAACAAGCUGAGCUGUUUCCAAAGACCUGGCCUGUCCUCCACACUGUGCUUUCCCUGCGCCAGCGCUGAAGAAACCGACUCAUCUUCCUCGUACAUCAGUCUUGGGCAAUGCAUCUUCAAUGAUCAACUCAUUCUUCCUGUUGGGCCACUGGUCAUCAGGUUUACUGACAGGGAAAGAUCCACUUUCUCAUCCGGCUGCUUGCCUGGCAAGGAGCUGGACAAAGCCGAGUCAGUGAACUGGAGAACGUGGUUCUUGGCUGUAGGAUCUGCAUGGGGGCUGGUGGAUGGCGAUGGUACAGACAAGGUUUGGUUGAGAUAAGACCGAGCGUCACAUCGUUUCACUGGAGAACGCAGCCAUGCAACCCGCGAUCCUCUCUGUCACGGUUCCAGAGCGCAGUUCACAAUGCAACUGAGAAUGAGAACGUUUUGCUGCACCUUCUGUGGCCCCAAAAGCUUGAUUCCAGCUUUCCAUCGCAAAUCCACACUAAGUCAGUUCUUGGUCCUCUUGUACCAAAUCACUUGGCUGCUGCUUCCGAUUGUCAUACCUGGUCUAUAAAAGACACUUCUCCUUGCUUCUCUCUUUUAACAGCUAUCUCAGAAUUCCGUCUUUUGCCAUUCAGCUACCUCCACAAAACAAAAAGUUAAUGGCAACAACUUUCAAAACUGUGGAUUUUAGGAUUUUAUGUAUGCAAGCUGAUUUAGCCGGAGAAUAGCAACAAAUGAGAAAUGGCAAUUAACUCUCCCAGAGUAAAGCCUGUUAUUUCUCAUGUUCUUCAACCCCCUCUCACAGAAUGCUGUCAGAAAGAAGGCAGCUGAUUCUAGCAAACAAGGCUACGCACUUCGUAAUUCCACUCCACUGCAACCAAAACUCUGUAGGAAGAACAUUUCAGUAUAACUAAUUAGCAAGCUCUGUGUCCUCAUCCUUGUUAAUUCAAGAGACACCUCUAAAAGGCUCCUUGGGGAGAGGUUCUACUGUUAUAAUUUUACCCCCCCGUUCCAGUCCGGACGUCUACUUCGAAGUUCCGCAAGGAAUAAUCCCCAGGAGCGCAAAGGGUGAAUAUCCAGGUGCUAUUUGAGAGAUUGCCCUUGUCUUCAUAGUGGAAUUUAGCACGUACACUAAAUAAUAGCUCAGGGUAUAGAGAGUUGUUGGGAGUUCCUCCAAAUCAAUUAUUUGCAAAUUUCAAACCUUUAGAAACUUGUCCAUCAUUAAUCUCAGAGAUAAUAAUAUCUGCUUGACGAAGAUCACACCGACAUCUGUGACUGUGUGCCUGGUGUGCCCUCACAGCUACUCGGAAUAGAGCUAUGAACACAUUUGGGUAGGAAAGCAGAGCUUUGGUAACGCAGGGAACUUGUGUAAGCUUCAGGUCCCAUGGGAGUUCUGGGGCCACCACCAUCUACUGCCAAACAAGCCACAUUCUCCCUUUUGCGCGGCGUUUAUCUGCGCUAUUGCAGGCAGCCCAGCCACCACAGCUCAGAAAUAGUCAUUCCCCUGCAAAUUAGUUCACCUCAUUUCAUGGCCAAAUCAUUCACUCGUCAGUUUUCCCUUUGGCCUUCGCAGUUAAUGGGAUCUGCUAUUAGUCAGUCCGGGGGGAUUUCUUACUCCCAUUAGGGAAAAAAAAACCACUCUGAAUUCAAAUGGAAUUCAUUUCCCUAAAUAUACAACCACACGUGGCCACUCUUUUGUUUGAGACCAGUAGAUUUGGGAAUGGUUUGAGUUGAUUACAAAUGAAAGAUCACUUUAAAACUCAGAAGGAGAAACGCGCUGGUUUUCAUUCAAGGACAUCCCGAAAAGAAAUACCUUCCGCCUUCUCCAUUUUGUUGCUUUUAUCCCUCCAUCAGUAUCACCAGUACCAGUGACCUUGUGGGAGUUAUUUCAAAGUACUGAAGGAAGCCCUGGUCCAGGUUCCUUCUGCUUUCUCAGCACAUCACCCCGAGGCUCCACCGAGAGCCCCGGCCCUGGGGCCGCCCAUUCCAGCUGUGGAAAUGUGACAUUUGCCCUGCAGACAGAAGCCUCAAGGGCUCCGUUCAGUGGCGCAGCAGCCUGUGCUCUCCUGAGAAACCGCUACAAUCCCUGGCCAAGAGAUCCCCCCAUUUUCAACCUUAUAUAUAUGCUUUUGAACUGUUUUAUGAAUCCGGCCCCACGUUUCAUGCCAGGCAUCUUGCCAUGUGCCGUGUCUAGUUUAUAUAAACCUCUAGGGCUGGCUUUAAUCUGCUUUCCCAGAGUCCCUAGGUCUGAAAACCUAGAUACCAGGAAGAAAGAGGGGAAGAAAACAGAGAAGAGCAAUCAAAGCACGGAGUGAGAUCACUUCUGAAGAUCGCAGUGAACACGGAUCUGAGGGCUGAUCCGGUUCCUCAGCUCAGGUGCUGGGGUCACCGGGGGCUGUUUUCCCCCUGCGAUUGCGUAAACGAGGAAGCUGUUGACUCGCUCGGCGCUGCACAGACAUAUGUGCCUCAUUAGCUGGAUUCCUUGUAUUGUUUCGGCUUGUCGCUGCUGGCUGGGAACAUGCAGCCUUGAGCUGUUCCCGCUUUGAAAAUGCACUUCUUUCUGCCCCGGAUUAUUGCCAAGCGGAGAUUUAAGUACACUAUUACUUUUAUGGAGAACUAUUAAGAGUUAUUAGAUCCCAUUAGAGCAGACUAUGCUCUUUAAAAAAAGAACCCUUUCCUUUAUUUUUGAACAACCAUUUAUAUUCAUUUAAAUCUGACAGAAAGUUUGUAUCAACGCAAACACAGUUAAUUAUAUCUUAAAUCAGUGGGAAUAUUUCUUGUUUAUUUUGAAAAAAUGUUUUACUAGUCUCCCCUAAAGACCGUGUCGUACUUAUGUGGCUUUAAAGUGACCGUCACGGGUGCUGGGGGCACCGGGGGUUCUGGCAUGGAUGCCAUAAGGAGAGUCGGGGAAAAGGAAUUGGAAAUCGAACCCCAGCACAAUCUGUACCUGUUUUUUAUUAGGUUCGGAUGAAGUCCCCAGCUCAUGGACACUAAAAUAUCAAGGGGAAUCUUUAUAUCAGUAGAAACAGGAUCAGACGGUACAUUACAUUAAGAAUAUGACCUAAUAUUAUUGGCAGAAGUCACUACCAGUAAGAACUGCACAGGGCACCCGCUCCUGGGUGGCUGUGACUGUUUAAGCCGGGGUGAAUGCCUGGAUUAAUUGCGGGUCUGUUCCAAGUUUAGUUCACGCCUGCUCCUUUUGUUACAGUUUACAUCCAGCUCUCUGAAUUUCUGUGCAUUAGUAAUUUGUAUCAAGCCGAUUUCAAAUAAAUGAAGAAAACAUCUCAAA